rnacentral:rRNA from 1 species
CAGGAUGAACGCUAGCGGCAGGCUUAACACAUGCAAGUCGAGGGGCAGCGGGAUGUAGCAAUACAUUGCCGGCGACCGGCGGAUGGGUGCGUAACGCGUAUGCAACCUACCUUAUACAGGGGAAUAACCUUUCGAAAGGGAGACUAACACCCCAUAGUAUUGAUUUAAGGCAUCUUAGAUUAAUUAAAUAUUUAUAGGUAUAAGAUGGGCAUGCGUAUGAUUAGCUAGUUGGUAAGGUAACGGCUUACCAAGGCGACGAUCAUUAGGGGUUCUGAGAGGAAGGUCCCCCACACUGGUACUGAGACACGGACCAGACUCCUACGGGAGGCAGCAGUGAGGAGUAUUGGUCAAUGGGCGCAAGCCUGAACCAGCCAUGCCGCGUGCAAGGAAGACGGCCUUAUGGGUUGUAAACUGCUUUUACAUAAGACUAACCGUAUAUUUGCGAAUAUACCUGAAUGUAUUAUGAGAAUAAGGAUCGGCUAACUCCGUGCCAGCAGCGGC